GUGGGGAAUAUUGGACAAUGGGCGAAAGCCUGAUCCAGCCAUGCCGCGUGUGUGAAGAAGGUCUUCGGAUUGUAAAGCACUUUAAGUUGGGAGGAAGGGCAGUAAGUUAAUACCUUGCUGUUUUGACGUUACCGACAGAAUAAGCACCGGCUAACUUCGUGCCAGCAGCCGCGGUAAUACGAAGGGUGCAAGCGUUAAUCGGAAUUACUGGGCGUAAAGCGCGCGUAGGUGGUUCAGCAAGUUGAAGGUGAAAUCCCCGGGCUCAACCUGGGAACUGCCUCCAAAACUACUGAGCUAGAGUACGGUAGAGGGUAGUGGAAUUUCCUGUGUAGCGGUGAAAUGCGUGGAUAUAGGAAGGAACACCAGUGGCGAAGGCGACUACCUGGACUGAUACUGACACUGAGGUGCGAAAGCGUGGGGAGCAAACAGGAUUAGAAACCCUAGUAGUCC
rnacentral:rRNA from 1 species